rnacentral:rRNA from 1 species
UACGAAGGGGGCUAGCGUUGUUCGGAAUUACUGGGCGUAAAGCGCGUGUAGGCGGGCCGUUAAGUCGGGGGUGAAAGCCCAGAGCUCAACUCUGGAAUUGCCUUCGAUACUGGCGGCCUGGAGCAUGAUAGAGGCGAGUGGAAUUGCGAGUGUAGAGGUGAAAUUCGUAGAUAUUCGCAGGAACACCAGUGGCGCAGGCGGCUCGCUGGAUCAUUGCUGACGCUGAGACGCGAAAGCGUGGGGAGCAAACAGG